rnacentral:rRNA from 1 species
CGAGAGGACCGGAGUGGACGAACCUCUGGUGUUCCGGUUGUCACGCCCGUGGCAUUGCCGGGUAGCUACGUUCGGACGGGAUAAACGCUGAAAGCAUCUAAGCGUGAAGCCUCCUUCAAGAUGAGAUCUCACUGGAACUUCGAGUUCCCUGUAGGGCCCUGGAAGACUACCAGGUUGAUAGGUCAGGUGUGUAAGCGUUGUGAGGCGUUGAGCUAACUGAUACUAAUUGCCCGUGAGGCUUGACCAUAUAACACCCAA